UACGUAGGGGGCAAGCGUUGUCCGGAUUUAUUGGGCGUAAAGAGCUCGUAGGCGGCUUGUCGCGUCGGAUGUGAAAGCCCGGGGCUUAACUCCGGGUCUGCAUUCGAUACGGGCAGGCUAGAGUGUGGUAGGGGAGAUCGGAAUUCCUGGUGUAGCGGUGAAAUGCGCAGAUAUCAGGAGGAACACCGGUGGCGAAGGCGGAUCUCUGGGCCAUUACUGACGCUGAGGAGCGAAAGCGUGGGGAGCGAACAGG
rnacentral:rRNA from 1 species